GAUGAAGAACGUAGCGAAAUGCGAUACGUAAUGUGAAUUGCAAAUUCAGUGAAUCAUCGAGUCUUUGAACGCACAUUGCGCCCCCUGGUAUUCCGGGGGGCAUGCCUGUCCGAGCGUCAUUGCUGCCCUCAAGCACGGCUUGUGUGUUGGGCCCCGUCCUCCGAUCCCGGGGGACGGGCCCGAAAGGCAGCGGCGGCACCGCGUCCGGUCCUCGAGCGUAUGGGGCUUUGUCACCCGCUCUGUAGGCCCGGCCGGCGCUUGCCGAUCAACCCAAAUUUUUAUCCAGGUUGACCUCGGAUCAGGUAGGGAUACCCGCUGAACUUAAGCAUAUCAUAAGCGGAGA
rnacentral:misc_RNA from 1 species